GGGGGGAAUCUUGCACAAUGGGCGAAAGCCUGAUGCAGCGACGCCGCGUGGGGGAUGAAGCAUUUCGGUGUGUAAACCCCUUUCGAUCCGGACGAAUGCCCGCAAGGGAUUGACGGUACGGAUAUAAGAAGCCCCGGCUAACUACGU
rnacentral:rRNA from 1 species